UGAAUUUCUUUAUUUAACUCAUCGACUUUCUGCUGCAGCUUUUUCCUUCUUUGUUCAGGUGGGAGGUUGCUGAAAUCCUCCGGUGUUGCACCCUGCAGACACAAAUAUAAAUGAGAAACCAGAAAGCCCCAGGCUUUCCUUGAAAGAAGGCUGAAAGCAAAGCCUGCAGCCAUGGGGGGUGCAGACAUCUGCAUGUGGCUUCAUGAAAUAGAUUAAGCUCUUUCCCACUACACCCAGCCGAGAUGCAAAAAUCAAUGCAUGCAAACUGCAUAAGUCCCAUAAACCAUUCCCAGUUCCAUGGAUGCUGGCCAGAAUGCCCCAGAAAAAGCAGUGAGCAACGCUACAGUAAAGGAGAGUAAGAGAUACUUCUGACUCUAGGGAGAAUCCAUGAAAAACACAUUUUGAGACAGUCUUCUUCCUUUUCCUACCAAGUGUUACCAUCAAUGUCAGUGGCAACACUGAAGUGUUAAUGAAAUUUAUGUUUCCUUAAUACAAACCCCAUCAACCACUGCACGCCUAGCUGCUGCCUUUUCCCUAGCGUGAGUAUUCCUGCCAGUCUCUUCACACAGGCUGAGGCCAAAAGUCUCCACCCCUGUAAAGUGACAGAUGGGACAUCACAUUCCUCAGAGAAUGUGGGUGAAAAAGAACAUUAAAAAAAAAAAAUCUCUUCUCCUUACCCCAUGCACACCUCCCUCUGCUGCCUCUAAAAGUCUAGUUACUUUUUUUUUUUCCUUGAGACAGAGUCUCACUCUGUUGCCCAGGCUGGAGUGCAGUGGUGCGAUCUCAGCUCACUGCAACCUCUGCCACCCAGGUUCAAGCGAUUCUCCUGCCUCAGCCUCCUAAGUAGCUGGGACUACAGGCAUGUGCCACCACGCCCGGCUAAUUUUCCACAGUCUCUAACUCUUGACUUCAGGUGAUCUGCUCACCUUGGCCUCCCAAAGUGCUGGGAUUACAGGCAUGAGCCGCCGCGCCCAGCCUAGUGACUUCUUUUAGGCCUUUAGGAAGCCUCUCAGAGUUCAGAGAGAAUGCCCUCCCUGACCUCAAAAUCAGUUUUCCACAGUGUACGAAACUCAUCUCCGCGGUUUUUAAUCUGUCAGAAGAACUGCAUUUUGAUAUCUUGAUUCCCUUUUCAGAAGCAGCUGCUCUCUUUACACUGUGCAUGAGCUUUAAGGAGAAAGUAUCAACAGUUUCAGGCUUUGACAUAUGCUUACUUGUUAGAAAGCUCUGGCUAAAUUGUGAUGUCAAGUGCUUUUACUUAAGUGAGGCUAUGUUCAUAAAGAGAGAGAAAUUUCGUGCUGGGCACGGUGGCUCAUGCCUGUAAUUCCAGCACUUUGGGAGGCCGAGGUGGGUGGAUCAUAAGGUCAGGAGUUUGAGACCAGCCUGGCCAACAAUGUGAAACACCGUCUCUGCUAAAAAUAUAAAAAACUAGCUGGGCGUGGUGGCGAGCGCCUAUAAUCCCAGCUACUUGGGAGGCUGAGGCAGGAGAAUUGCUUGAACCCGGGAAGCGGAGGUUGUAGUGAG
rnacentral:lncRNA from 1 species